GUGAGGAAUUUUCCGCAAUGGGCGAAAGCCUGACGGAGCAAUGCCACGUGAAGGAUGAAGGCCUAUGGGUUGUAAACUUCUUUUCUCAGAAAAGAAUUAUGACGGUAUCUGAGGAAUAAGCAUCGGCUAACUCUGUGCCAGCAGCCGCGGUAAGACAGAGGAUGCAAGCGUUAUCCGGAAUGAUUGGGCGUAAAGCGUCUGUAGGUUGUUUAAAAAGUAUUCUGUCAAAGAUUAGGGCUUAACCCUAGAUAGGCAGAAUAAACUUUUAAGCUAGAGUGUGGUAGAGGCAGAGGGAAUUCCCGGUGGAGCGGUGAAAUGCGUAGAUAUCGGGAGGAACACCAAAGGCGAAGGCACUCUGCUGGGCCAAUACUAACACUGAGAGACGAAAGCGAGGGGAGCAAAUGGGAUUAGAAACCCCAGUAGUCC
rnacentral:rRNA from 1 species